rnacentral:rRNA from 1 species
UACGAAGGGUGCAAGCGUUACUCGGAAUUACUGGGCGUAAAGCGUGCGUAGGUGGUUUGUUAAGUCUGUUGUGAAAGCCCCGGGCUCAACCUGGGAAUGGCAAUGGAUACUGGCAGACUAGAGGUAGGUAGGGGAGAAUGGAAUUCCCGGUGUAGCGGUGAAAUGCGCAGAUAUCGAGAGGAACACCGGUGGCGAAGGCGGCCUUCUGGACAGUGACUGACGCUGAGACGCGAAAGCGUGGGGAGCAAACAGG